UUCACGGGUGAGUAACACGUAUCCAACCUGCCCUUUACUCGGGGAUAGCCUUUCGAAAGAAAGAUUAAUACCCGAUAGCAUAAUGAUUCCGCAUGGUUUCAUUAUUAAAGGAUUCCGGUAAAGGAUGGGGAUGCGUUCCAUUAGGUUGUUGGUGAGGUAACGGCUCACCAAGCCUUCGAUGGAUAGGGGUUCUGAGAGGAAGGUCCCCCACAUUGGAACUGAGACACGGUCCAAACUCCUACGGGAGGCAGCAGUGAGGAAUAUUGGUCAAUGGGCGUUAGCCUGAACCAGCCAAGUAGCGUGAAGGAUGAAGGCUCUAUGGGUCGUAAACUUCUUUUAUAUAA
rnacentral:rRNA from 1 species